rnacentral:rRNA from 1 species
GAUGAACGCUGGCGGCGUGCCUAAUACAUGCAAGUCGAGCGAACAGAUGAGGAGCUUGCUCCUCUGACGUUAGCGGCGGACGGGUGAGUAACACGUGGAUAACCUACCUAUAAGACUGGGAUAACUUCGGGAAACCGGAGCUAAUACCGGAUAAUAUAUUGAACCGCAUGGUUCAAUAGUGAAAGACGGUUUUGCUGUCACUUAUCGAUGGAUCCGCGCCGCAUUAGCUAGUUGGUAAGGUAACGGCUUACCAAGGCAACGAUGCGUAGCCGACCUGAGAGAGUGAUCGGCCACACUGGAACUGAGACACGGUCCAGACUCCUACGGGAGGCAGCAGUAGGGAAUCUUCCGCAAUGGGCGAAAGCCUGACGGAGCAACGCCGCGUGAGUGAUGAAGGUCUUCGGAUCGUAAAACUCUGUUAUGAGGGAAGAACAAAUGUGUAAGUAACUAUGCACGUCUUGACGGUACCUAAUCAGAAAGCCACGGCUAACUACGUG